CAGGGAAUCUUGCGCAAUGGGCGAAAGCCUGACGCAGCGACACCGCGUGAAGGAAGAAUGCCUUAGGGUUGUAAACUUCUUUUGUUGGGGAAGAGAUAGGACGGUACCCAACGAAUAAGCCCCGGCUAACUACGUGCCAGCAGCCGCGGUAAUACGUAGGGGGCGAGCGUUGUCCGGAUUUAUUGGGCGUAAAGGGCGAGUAGGCGGCAUGCCAAGUCCCGUGUAAAAUCUCCUGGCUUAACUAGGAGCGGUCAUGGGAAACUGGCAAGCUUGAGGACAUCAGAGGAGAGCGGAAUUCCCGGAGUAGUGGUGAAAUGCGUAGAUACCGGGAGGAACACCAGAGGCGAAAGCGGCUCUCUGGGAUGCACCUGACGCUGAGGCGCGAAAGCAUGGGUAGCAAACCGG
rnacentral:rRNA from 1 species